UACGUAGGGCGCAAGCGUUGUCCGGAAUUAUUGGGCGUAAAGAGCUCGUAGGCGGUUUGUCGCGUCGAAUGUGAAAACCCGGGGCUCAACCCCGGGCCUGCAUUCGAUACGGGCAGACUAGAGUUCGGUAGGGGAGUCUGGAAUUCCUGGUGUAGCGGUGAAAUGCGCAGAUAUCAGGAGGAACACCGGUGGCGAAGGCGGGUCUCUGGGCCGAUACUGACGCUGAGGAGCGAAAGCGUGGGGAGCGAACAGG
rnacentral:rRNA from 1 species